GCAGCUACUCCACAUAAUAGCUGCCGGAAGCUAAAAUAAAGGAGGAUAAACCCGUCUGACUCACGGUGCGGCAGUGUGGAGACCUGUCGUAAUGCUCCCGGAAUUUUGCUUUCCGGGUUUGCGAGAACGCAUGCGAAAGUUAGGUGCGUUUAGAGUCGAAAGAAAAUGGCA
rnacentral:ncRNA from 1 species